rnacentral:rRNA from 1 species
AGUGAACGCUGGCGGUAGGCCUAACACAUGCAAGUCGAACGGCAGCACAGGAGAGCUUGCUCUCUGGGUGGCGAGUGGCGGACGGGUGAGGAAUACAUCGGAAUCUACUCUGUCGUGGGGGAUAACGUAGGGAAACUUACGCUAAUACCGCAUACGACCUACGGGUGAAAGCAGGGGACCUUCGGGCCUUGCGCGAUUGAAUGAGCCGAUGUCGGAUUAGCUAUUUGGCGGGGUAAAGGCCCACCAAGGCGACGAUCCGUAGCUGGUCUGAGAGGAUGAUCAGCCACACUGGAACUGAGACACGGUCCAGACUCCUACGGGAGGCAGCAGUGGGGAAUAUUAGACAAUGGGCGCAAGCCUGAUCCAGCCAUACCGCGUGGGUGAAGAAGGCCUUCGGGUUGUAAAGCCCUUUUGUUGGGAAAGAAAUCCAGCUGGCUAAUACCCGGUUGGGAUGACGGUACCCAAAGAAUAAGCACCGGCUAACUUCGUGCCAGCAGCCGCAGUAA